CAAAGGACAAAAAUGUCGUCUAAGACAGCAGAGAGUAGCUAGUCAAUCAAACGCACUCUGUAGAGCAGUUUGUUCGUUUAGGGCUGCUGUAGAAACAUGUCGGCGCAAAAUGGUGACUUAACAUGUAAGGGGACCCGCGGUGUAUGAAGAUAGAAAUGGCUCAUUCAGCAAUAGCUGAAUUCUGGCUUAAGGUUCUACUGCCACGCCGUCCUUGGCUGCCAGAUGAGCCCCUGUGACCUGAGUUUUUUGAGUCUUUGGAGGAGUUACGAAGAGCAGAGCGUGGAGGAUGAGCGUCUGAUGAGGAUGGAGGACCAGAGGAGAUGCUAAAUGCAGAGAAGAACGAAAGGCUUAUUUUUGAAGAGAAGGACACACAGCAUAAUCAAAUGCAUGUUAGCGGCAGAUCCAAGAGGACGGACUGUUCCUCUGAGCGCUGAAUUGGAUUACAGUGGAGGCCGACAGGCACACCAGACAGCCUAUAAAUUACAAUCAACAGUUUAAUAUGCCCAAGCAAAGCAGCAAACCUCUGUCUGUCCUCUGCCCAUCAAACAAGUCAUUAAAACUGAAAUUGUCAAUGGCUCCUUACAAGCAACAAGCAUAAAUUAUAAAAUGAGCAAAUCAUUCACACAAAAACAUUUAUUUCUUGGUGCCCUGGCAUUUUGAUCCUGUAUAAAUCAGUUGUCCUCUGUUCAAUGGUUGGAAAACCAAAAGAAAUCAAUAACACUUUAGAAUAAUGGUCCGCCAUUAUGUAACUAUGCAGGAAGUAAUGCAGGACAAAUGAGUAGUACUACAUUAACAGUUCAAACAUUUCUGAAUGAGAUUGGCAUCAUUAAAAACUAAUAACUAUGACAAAUUAUAAAAAAAUACUAAUUAAUGAUCACAACAUUAACAUGUCUGAGAUUGUCUUUUUUAAAUCUCAACAUCAUAAAAUGCAUCACUAAUUACUCAAGUGUUACCUAGUCACUCUUCAAGCACUACUAGAGAUCUCAUUAUUUUAAAGUGAAAAAAUGUUUUUCUCUUUAAAAUAAAGUUCCAGAUUGCUAAUAGUUCCUGCAGAGUGACUAAGUAACACUUGAGUAAUUAUGAUGCAUCUCAAACUAGAUCUCAAAAAUAUCUCAAGACAGUGUUAUCCACAUAUAUAGAGUAGAAUAGUUGUGUUCCAGAAAUCCCUUUCUUUUUUUCCAUAGGGGAAUUGAAUUUUAAAGAUGGAUAGACCUACUGUGAGCUACAAGGUUGAUGGUAUUUGCUUUUGUUGAAGCCAUCUUGUAAUACUGAUGUUGAGAAUGACGAAUGCGAAUGACAUAAUCAAGUCCGUUUCCCUAUAUGCUUUCAAACUAAAUAUUUGUAUAUAGGCCUAUGUACAUGCAUAUUUUGCAAUAAACAUAAAAUAUGUUGCUUGUAUACAUAUUCAUUUAAAGAUGUUGAUUAUAUAUAUAUUUUUUUAUUUCUCCAUUUUCAA